GCCAGGAUAGCUAAGUUGGUGAGAGUGUGGUGCUGAUAACACCAAGGUUGCAGGUUCAAAUCCCCUUAUGGAACA